rnacentral:sRNA from 1 species
CAGCACCCUGGAGGCCCAGGGUCGGCGGGGUGGCGGCUCAGGGGAUCCGGGGCGCAGCCUACACCUGGGACAAUGAGCAGGAACCCAGGUUGCCUAACCACCAGUGCUCUAUCUCUGACUGCCUGCCUGCCUGCUCGCCUGGACUCCUUUCUCUUGACAGGGAGUGGUGAGAACAGAACUCAAGGUCUAUGCCUGCCACUCGCUGCUGCUUUCCAUGGGGUUGGGGUGCAAGAGAGACCGGCCCACAGCUGGGGGGAGCGGGCUAUUUUUAGUUUCGGUGGCAUUCGGGUGCAGCUGAGAUGAGUAACCAGUUCCUAAGCAGUGCAGAGAAGAGGCACCGCUUUCGGGAAGCUUUUGUGCGACUUUGGGGGACAGCUGCUCCCCCAAGAUCUCAGAAAGGUGCACCUGUACUCCUCAGCUUUCUCUGCUGAGGCAGAACUCAGUCUAUCCUGGUAUCAAGCAGCAGGGCAACUCCCACUCUAGAUAUGGGUGUCCUUGGACACCCACAGAGCCUUCCAUGAGCAGCAGGCUAGCUCCCCUAACCCAGAAGCCAGGAUUCUAGGGUUACACAGUUCUGUGCCCACACAGCUCUACCAAGCCUUAUGUGGAGUGCAGAUAGAGUGCUUAUAUACACUUGUACCCUAACAGAGGCGGAUGGACUAGUGUGCUCUUGUGACACAGCCAAAUCCCCUAGCAACAGAAAAGAUAAAAGUGGCCUUUCUCUCCUAAAUUGGGGCUUCCACUCACGACUGUCGCCAUGCCUAGUUCAUUUGACUGCCCUGAUAUGCAGCUCACCUUUUGGGCUCACCCUAUUCUUGGGGUGGGGUGCUGCUUGCACCCUCAGCAUCCCUCCCCCUAAGCCUGUACCAGGUGUCCCCUGAUUCACCAUGGUAAUGUUAGUGGCAGCACAGCCCACGCCAACCCUUCCAUGCAGAGACUUAGCAACCAUGCCUGGCAACCGUAGCAGCAGCUCAGUGGAGGGGAGGGGUGCAGGGAGCGGGCUGAGAGGGUGGCAAUGGCUCCUGAGGAAGAAGGGACCACUUGCAUUUGCUGCUCCUGACUUUAAGAUCAGAAGCCUGUGAGCUUCCACAUUGUAUCCCUGGUCUCCUUCAGCUGCUUCCUUGGGCUGAGACUUGUUGGGGUUCUUGGGGGGUAAAUGGGAGAGACAAAAGAUCACAGUUGGUUUUCCAUAAAAAUGCAUGGAACAUUUG